rnacentral:sRNA from 1 species
UGCUUUUAGGUGUAAGUUCAGUGAACUU